rnacentral:ribozyme from 1 species
UUUUUUUUUUUUUUUUUUUUUUUUUUUUUUUUUUUCCUCACAGCUGCGA